rnacentral:rRNA from 1 species
CUGGGCGUAAAGCGUGCGUAGGUGGUUUGUUAAGUCAGAUGUGAAAGCCCCGGGCUCAACCUGGGAAUUGCAUUUGAUACUGGCAGGCUAGAGUGCGGUAGAGGAGAGUGGAAUUCCCGGUGUAGCAGUGAAAUGCGUAGAGAUCGGGAGGAACAUCAGUUGCGAAGGCGGCUCUCUGGACCAGCACUGACACUGAGGCACGAAGGCGUGGGGAGCAAACAGGAUUAGAUACCCUGGUAGUCCACGCCCUAAACGAUGCGAACUGGACGUUGGGUGCAAUUGAGCAUUCAGUGUCGAAGCUAACGCGUUAAGUUCGCCGCCUGGGGAGUACGGUCGCAAGACUGAAACUCAAAGGAAUUGACGGGGGCCCGCACAAGCGGUAAUCGAA